rnacentral:rRNA from 1 species
UACGGAGGGUGCAAGCGUUAAUCGGAAUUACUGGGCGUAAAGCGCGCGUAGGCGGUUUUUUAAGUAGGAUGUGAAAGCCCCGGGCUCAACCUGGGAACUGCAUCCGAUUACUGGAAGACUAGAAUGCGGGAGAGGGAGGUAGAAUUCCAUGUGUAGCAGUGAAAUGCGUAGAUAUAUGGAGGAAUACCNGUGGCGAAGGCGGCCUCCUGGCUCGACAUUGACGCUGAGGUGCGAAAGCGUGGGAGCAAACGGG